UCUGAUUGCUAGCAAAGGUGCCUUUCAUGUUUCCUAAAGUAGGAGACGUGGAAACUUUUGUAUGUGACUAUAUGAGCUUAGGGUUGAGAAUCUGAAUCCUCAGUGAAGAGGGAGGAGGAGAGAAUGAAAGCCUUGAGUAUUUUACUAGUGACCCUGUGGCUUCAGCUAAACUGGGUGAGCAGUCAGGAGACAGUACAGCAGAAUCCAGAAUCCCUCAGUGUCUCACAGGGAGCCAUGAUCUCUCUCAACUGCACUUUCAGUGAUCGUAAUUCUCAGUAUUUCUGGUGGUACAGACAGCAUUCUGGGGAAGGCCCAAAGGCACUGAUGUCCAUCUUCUCCAAUGGUGACAAGAAAGAAGGCAGAUUCACUGUUCAACUCAAUAAAGCCAGCCUGCAUCUUUCCCUGCACAUCAGAGACUCCCAUCCCAGUGACUCUGCUCUCUACUUCUGUGCAGCGAACACACAGUGCUCCCCAGGCACCUGCAGCCUGUACUCAAACCUACUGUGCCCCAUUCAUGCCUGA